rnacentral:rRNA from 1 species
UACGGAGGAUGCGAGCGUUAUCCGGAUUUAUUGGGUUUAAAGGGUGCGUAGGCGGUCCGUUAAGUCAGCGGUAAAGUUGCGGGGCUCAACCCCGUCGAGCCGUUGAAACUGUCAGACUUGAGUUGGCGAGAAGUACGCGGAAUGCGCGGUGUAGCGGUGAAAUGCAUAGAUAUCGCGCAGAACUCCGAUUGCGAAGGCAGCGUACCGGCGCCACACUGACGCUGAGGCACGAAAGCGUGGGGAUCGAACAGG